UGUUUCUUCGGUACCCCUUAGCAAGCUAGCCGCACCCCAUCUUCCCCAAACAAUUCGACGAUAAAGUUACCCUUCCCUCUCCCUUCCUUCGACCUUGCCUCAUCCUUGGAAGAGUUCUCGACCAACAAUGGCGACAGGGAGGUGAACAUCAGCAACAAGCAUCGGCGAUCUCUGUUUCCGGUCUCCCUUCGCUCGGCAGGAGGCGUGGCAGGGGCGUCAGCAACGGUCUUCUUCGGCGAGCUCGGCCAGCUACAGUGGCGGUCCCGACGGUCUCUCGACGUGAACAGAGCUCCUCGACAUUCUUUUCUCGUCGACGUCGGUGGAGCUUCGGACAACACAACAGUACUAGCUCCUCCCUUCCUCGUCUUCCCGGCAGCGGCUUGGUUGACGCACAAGCUUAUCCUCUCCUCGGCGGCGAGUUUCGGAGUGGCGUUGGCAGCAGAGAAGCAACAACAACAACAAGAGAUGGAGGAGGCAGUUUGGCGUUACGGGUCGCGGCAGCUGCAGUGUCGUACUCUCCUCCGACGAAUCUUCCGGCAGUGCGUUAGGCGUGGAGGGUGAACGUGGUGCAGCUUGGUGAGACGGGAGGCCGCGAGUGGUGGUGUGCCUGCCGUUCCACCCGCGACUUUGGCUGCUUAAGGAAGACGAAGAAGAUGAAUGGGGUUCCCGGUAGCUUGGCUUUUUGAGUUGAGCCUAAGUUGGCGUUGUUUUUGGAUGUUAAGCGAAUGAGGCACAGAUGAGUAGCUCCGGAGCGCGCUAAAGAACCG